UACGUAGGGUGCGAGCGUUGUCCGGAAUUACUGGGCGUAAAGCGUGCGCAGGCGGUUUUGUAAGCCAGAUGUGAAAUCCCCGGGCUUAACCUGGGAAUGGCAUUUGGGACUGCAAGGCUUGAGUGCGGCAGAGGAGACUGGAAUUCCUGGUGUAGCAGUGAAAUGCGUAGAUAUCAGGAGGAAUACCGAUGGCGAAGGCAGGUCUCUGGGCUGACACUGACGCUCAUGCACGAAAGCGUGGGGAGCAAACAGG
rnacentral:rRNA from 1 species